rnacentral:rRNA from 1 species
CCUACGGGUGGCAGCAGUGAGGAAUAUUGGUCAAUGGACGAGAGUCUGAACCAGCCAAGUAGCGUGAAGGAUGACUGCCCUAUGGGUUGUAAACUUCUUUUAUAUGGGAAUAAAAUGUUCCACGUGUGGGAUUUUGUAUGUACCAUAUGAAUAAGGAUCGGCUAACUCCGUGCCAGCAGCCGCGGUAAUACGGAGGAUCCGAGCGUUAUCCGGAUUUAUUGGGUUUAAAGGGUGCGUAGGCGGGCAUUUAAGCCGGCGGUCAAAUGUCGGGGCUCAACCCCGGCCUGCCGUCGGAACUGGGUGCCUUGAGUGGGCGAGAAGUAUGCGGAAUGCGUGGUGUAGCGGUGAAAUGCAUAGAUAUCACGCAGAACCCCGAUUGCGAAGGCAGCAUACCGGCGCCCUACUGACGCUGAGGCACGAAAGUGCGGGUAUCGAACAGGAUUAGAUACCCUUGUAGUC